AGCAGUCGCCGCGGUAAUACGAAGGGUGCAAGCGUUACUCGGAAUUACUGGGCGUAAAGCGUGCGUAGGUGGUGGUUUAAGUCCGUUGUGAAAGCCCUGGGCUCAACCUGGGAAUUGCAGUGGAUACUGGAUCACUAGAGUGUGGUAGAGGAUAGUGGAAUUUCCGGUGUAGCAGUGAAAUGCGUAGAGAUCGGAAGGAACAUCUGUGGCGAAGGCGACUAUCUGGGCCAACACUGACACUGAGGCACGAAAGCGUGGGGAGCAAACAGGAUUAGAUACCCGUGUAGUCCCUGUCUCUUAUAA
rnacentral:rRNA from 1 species